rnacentral:lncRNA from 1 species
GUAUUGUUUCUGGUAUAUCUGCCGGAGUGAUGUUGCAAAUUAAAUGACGUUAUUUUCUUUCUCUCUUUUUCUCUGAAUUUUGUUUCCGUACAGGACACAAUCAAGCAAUGAAAGAUGGGAAAAGAGAGUCAAUAUUCAUUGACGGUGGGCACGGCGUAUCCGUCCAGCUCCCUGCCUGCACUCGGGAUCCUGGCGCAGCCUGUGUGGACGCCGGCCGGCCGGCCAGCGCUCUGAUCUGCCGUUAGCUGUGGUAACGAGUUAUGACUGUGACCUUCCUGACUGAAGUAAUGGUCUCUGCAAACGCAUAUGCACUUUGGAGCAGGAAAGGUGACAGCCAUAAAGAAAAUGAAAAGAAGUUGAAAGAAAAUGCCCUUUCCUCUGAAAAGAAAGCAGAAGAGUCUAGGCACCCAAAAGCCCUCCUGUUGACACCUGAAGGAAGCCGUGUCUCCAGCUUAGCCUCUGUCAAACUCUGGAUGGUGCCAAUGGCAGGAACCUGCCUGGAACGUCAUUUUGCAGCUGUCUACAGCAAAUUCUUGCUCUGCACAUGGACGCCAGUUCAGUUCAGAUUUUCUAGCACUAUGUGCAUUGUGGCAUUCCUUCCUGUGGUGACUGGCCGAGGCAAAGGAAAUCCUGCUCUGGCUAACCCUGGUGCUCUUUCUCACCUUGCUGGAGCUUGUGCACUAGCUGCUGUCUCCUGUGCUCUCCUUCCUCAGACUGUUCUUCCCGCACAACAAGAAUCCUCUUGGUGCUGGAGUGGUUUCUGUCUUCCCAGUGGCUGGGGCUUUUUAAGCCCUGCUUUCAUCAACAGUUAUGUUCACCUUUGAAAAUGGUAAGAUUCAAGCAAUUGUACUGUUAAUUUUUUUGGACUGCUCUCUUGCUCCUGGGCUGUUCUUCAUUUAUUUUUUGGACUAUAUACAGCAGUCAAAGUGAGUGCCAUUUUUCCCCUGAGUGAAGUGGCAUUAAGAGACUAUCCGUUGGCUAUGUUCAGCUCCUAGCGUUCUCACUGUUGGACUGUUCAAAGACUCCUCUUGCUACUUUUGACUCUAAUAUCACCAAUUGCAAUUGCUUUGACCAUGGAGAACAUAGAAGUGACUGGCUCCUGCGUAGCAACUGCUAUCUGAUUUGUCAUUCCUCCUUUGCUGGUUAGCCUUAGCUGAGAAGGCGCCCAGGUGUUUGUAUAAAGCAUGUCUCUCCAUUUCAGCACAAUCUCUGGAUAAUGCUAGUCAUCAUUUGUGCUGUAUUUGCUGUAAUCACUGUCACAGUAUUGUAUGUAACACAUCUUACUUAGUAAAUGGAUACUAACAUUAAAUAGUUGAUGCAUAAAGAAAGUAAAGAAGUGAUGAUCAAUGCCCAGGAAAAUUCAUAACUUAUUACUAAAAACAGAACUGUGACAUCUCAUGACUUAUUAACUGGUUCUUGGUCAGAGGCACAUUACACAGAAUUUCAAUGUAGUACAUAUUUAUUUUAAGUUGUAACCUAUUUUUGGCCUUAGAGAUUUGCAAACAGAACACUAUAUUGCGCUAUACCCAUUGUGUAAACAUUAGUAAUAAUGUAAAACGUGUUGUAACCAACUGGUUAGGAAGAAGUGUGAAAUCCAGCAAAUUCUACUGUAUUUCUGUAUAUUUAAUAAAACUGCAAAAUAUCUUGCA